rnacentral:rRNA from 1 species
AACGUAGGGGGCGAGCGUUGCCCGGAAUCACUGGGCGUAAAGGGCGCGUAGGCGGCCUCAGUUGGUCGGCCGUGAAAGCCCCCGGCUCAACCGGGGGAGGCCGGUCGAUACCGCGAGGCUCGAGGGUGGUAGGGGGAGACGGAAUUCCCGGUGUAGCGGUUGAAUGCGAUGAUACCGGGAGGAACCCCGAUGGCGAAGGCGGUCUCCUGGGCCACCCCUGACGCUGAGGCGCGAAAGCACGGGGAGCGAA